rnacentral:rRNA from 1 species
ACUCCUACGGGAGGCAGCAGUGGGGAAUAUUGCACAAUGGGGCGCAAAGCCUGAUGCAGCCAUGCCCGCGUGUGUGAAAGAAAGGCCCUUCGGGUUGUAAAGCACUUUCAGUCGUGAGGAAGGUAGUGUAGUUAAUAGCUGCAUUAUUUGACGUUAGCGACAGAAGAAGCACCGGCUAACUCCGUGCCAGCAGCCGCGGUAAU